rnacentral:rRNA from 1 species
UGGCGACCGGCGCACGGUGCGUAACGCGUAUGCAACCUACCUUUAACAGGGGGAUAACACUGAGAAAUUGGUACUAAUACCCCAUAAUAUCAUAGAAGGCAUCUUUUAUGGUUGAAAAUUCCGAUGGUUAGAGAUGGGCAUGCGUUGUAUUAGCUAGUUGGUGGGGUAACGGCCCACCUAGUCUUCGAUGGAUAGGGGUUCUGAGAGGAAGGUCCCCCACAUUGGAACUGAGACACGGUCCAA